rnacentral:rRNA from 1 species
GACGAACGCUGGCGGCGUGCUUAACACAUGCAAGUCGAACGAUGAAGCUGGAGCUUGCUCCGGUGGAUUAGUGGCGAACGGGUGAGUAACACGUGAGAAAUCUGCCCUUGACUCUGGGAUAACUGCGGGAAACUGUAGCUAAUACCGGAUAUUUUCCUUGGUGGGCAUCCACUGGGGAAGAAAGAAUUUCGGUCAAGGAUGAUCUCGCGGCCUAUCAGCUAGUUGGUGAGGUAAUGGCUCACCAAGGCGACGACGGGUAGCCGGCCUGAGAGGGUGACCGGCCACACUGGGACUGAGACACGGCCCAGACUCCUACGGGAGGCAGCAGUGGGGAAUAUUGCACAAUGGGCGCAAGCCUGAUGCAGCAACGCCGCGUGAGGGAUGAAGGCCUUCGGGUUGUAAACCUCUUUUAGCAGGGAAGAAGCGAAAGUGACGGUACCUGCAGAAAAAGCACCGGCUAACUACGUGCCAGCAGCCGCCGUAA